rnacentral:siRNA from 1 species
GAGGGACUCUGUUAAGGGAUCACC